rnacentral:rRNA from 1 species
GCUCUUCGUCUUACCACACAUCAUGUCUUUCGUCUCCGCUACGAGCCACCGGGCGGCCGCCGCCGGCAUUUUGUUUCUGGCCGCUGCCAUGCAUCAACACGUCGCAGGACCGCACCCGCUGCUGCCGUCCACCACGUCGUCGGAGGCGACCCGGGCUGGGCCGUGGCCUCCGACGUCCUUGCCUGGUCGGCGGGCAGGCUCUUCACGGUCGGGGACACACUCUGGUUUGCGUAUGAGGCGGCGGAGGUCGCCGGCGAGGCGGAGUUCGAGCCGUGCGAGGCCGGCGACCCCAUCAGAACGUACACGGACGGGCUCAGCAGGGUUAGGGUAGGCCUCGACGACGAAGGCACGAGGUAUUUCCUCAGCGCAGACCCCGCCAAGUGCAAGGGCGGGCUGAAGCUGCGGGUCGACGUGCGGGCUACAGUGUCGGUGUCGCCGCGGUCGGUGGACCGAGCUGCCGCAGCGGCGCCCGCGCCGCCCGCGCCGCCCGCGUCGAGUGGCACCCAAGCUGUGGUACCGCUGGUGCGCCGUGCGUUGUGUCUGGUCUCCGUGUGGUGCUUUCUGUUCCUGGGUGCAUGA